UACGAGGGGGCUAGCGUUGCUCGGAAUUACUGGGCGUAAAGCGCACGUAGGCGGCUCUUUAAGUCGGGGGUGAAAUCCUGGAGCUCAACUCCAGAACUGCCUUUGAUACUGAGGAUCUUGAGUUCGGGAGAGGUGAGUGGAACUGCGAGUGUAGAGGUGAAAUUCGUAGAUAUUCGCAAGAACACCAGUGGCGAAGGCGGCUCACUGGCCCGAUACUGACGCUGAGGCACGAAAGCGUGGGGAGCAAACAGGG
rnacentral:rRNA from 1 species